UCAAGCACGCAUGCAUGCAUGCACACAUACAUCCACACACAAUGCUUUUGACACUGAAAGAAUGGGUUUUCUGUUGCUGCUACUCGCCUCAGUGUUCAGCUGACUUGUGAAAAACACAGGAAAAGAUGAUCUUCAAAACGGCUAAACAAACCAAAAGGCAGCUAUGAUGACAUUUCUCCCAGACAGACCCAGCAUGACAGUGAGGGCCCAGGCAACCCAAGCCAUGAACAACAGUAGGCUGACUUGUGCAGGUAACCAGGUCCUGACUUCAAGGUGAGUUCAAAAGGCCAAGAGGUCAAGCCAUGAACCUACCCUUCCCCUGGGAGAACGGUUGCUUUUCGGAAUUCCAUGACAUAAUAAGGUUAGAAAAUUCCAUGCCGGGAGCAUCUGAAACCAAUUAUGGACACAUUGCCAAUUAUUCAGGAGUUUUGAUGUCCCAUCCAAGACAUUCCAGCAGAGUUCUGUAGGCACCAAGGGUCUGGCUGUGACACCCAGCUAGCACGCAGCAUCUCUCGGCUUAUCAUACACCGGGAUCGGAUAAUCACAUUAGUGAUGAAGACUUCCAGCCUGCCAAGCUAUAUUUGAAGCUACAGUCACCCAUCCCAUGGUGACCUCUCAUAUUGCAACAAUGAUACUCCAGGGUUACUCCUCUAGUCCCUUCCUCUGCCUGAUGAACUGAUUCCCUCGCUGUACAUUUGUAGGAAGGAGAUCCUGCCUGGUUCCAUUCAACUGUCUUUACAAGAUUAGAGCCCUUUCCUGGCUUUGUGGCUCAAGCAACAAUUACACUGUUUGAUAUUUCUUGAUCUGUGAAAAUAACUUGGGGGAGCCCAACACAUCUGGCUUGAAUAAAUGAACCUGGAAACAAUAUCACAGACAAACAAAAAACAUGAGAUAUCUCCAGCUAAGGAACCGAGGUGCUCCAGAGAGAUCUUGCAAGCAUGACCACCCUUGUGCUGUCCAGGCAAGCUGGCUGCAUCCUGCUUGCUGCAUUCCAUCCUGAGGUGUGAGCUAUCACCACGGAGGAGCUGAGUUCUGCAGUCCGGAAGGGGCCUGUAUUAGACACAUAGACUUCCAGCCUUCCAGACAACUUUGUGGUGUUAUGAGAAUUCCUUCAUUGAAGAGACUCAAACAACAUCAGUCCCUCCUCACAAAUUCCCAAAUGACAGACAGAGUAUGAGUCUACCACAGUUCACCCCAGGGAACCCAUUGUUCAUUGGCUUACUUACAGUUACACUGGGAAACUCCUGUCCAGCACCCAUGAUGCCCACUUCACCCCCAAUGUCACAUAGAUAGAGUCCUCCCAGUUAAUCCUAUAUAGCUUCUGUACUCUGGUCCCUCCCCGGACCCCUGAAACCACAGGCAAAUAGGGCAGAUUUGCAGACAAAUGGCUGGAAGUGCAGAUAAAUAUUUAGUAACCACCUCCCUCUAUGAAGGAAUCUCAACAGUCCACGGACCCAAAAGUGCUUGACGCUUGCAAGCAGGCACAGGUGAUCUGACAAUAACAGUGAUUGUUCGACACUCGGUAGAUAGGUCCUUUCAACACUAGGAGAUUCUUAAGCAGCUGGCCUCCUUAAUCAAGGGCCUGCGUAGCCUGUUUGUAGGACAGGUGUGCCCUGGAGCACACAGAAAAUUUUAGGCAAAUCAGUCAGGAAAAUAACCCUAUUGGUUUCCCACUCACAACCAGAGAUGGCUGUCUGCUUAAGGAGUGUGGAGCAAAUGCUUUAGGCUCUGUACAAGGCCUUCUCAGAGGAAAGGGGUUUGAGGAGUCACUGAAAUAAAUUUAAUCAAGAGACACCACAUGUGUGGGAUAACGUGUGGAUUUUGAAGUAUUUUGAAGUACAGAGUGACAUGAUUUGGAGCUCUGCUCUGAUUGGCUCUUGUCAGUUCUGCAUUCUGUUGACAGGCCAUCCUUCACCAUACGGCAUCUCCCACACUCAUUGGAGUGUCGUGUCUCUUUCUCAGAGUCUUCUUGACUUCACCCCCUCAUUCUGUUUUCAUUUUCUCAGUCAUUGUGACCUGUUAGCACCAUGUCGUUAACCCUAAUGGACGUCUUGGCCACGCAACCAAACAUGGAGAGGACACUAAUUUGCUAUUCUAGAAGGCAAAGGGUCUUAUCUAUAUGGGAAUCCAAGCAAUCUCUAAUGCUGAGGAAUACCCACCUUAGCCCCCUACAUCUAUGAAGAGAGACGGCACAUGUGUACAAUAUGGUGACCUAUUUCCCAGCAUGCUUUCUUGAGGGACAGUACAGAAAGUUUUAUCAAGGCUUCUUAGAGACAGAAUGGGGGAAGCCCUGUAGAGCUGAAAAACAAAUUCAUACCCCUGUGUUUCCCAAAGUCAUGUACAGCCUUUGAAGAUGUUAUUCAGGGGCCAGAGAAUGCGACUUCCAUCAGGAGACUAAACAGCUUCACCUUUAAUCCAGGGAUUGAAUGCUGGUUUACUCUUUGCUGAUAAGGCCUACAAACCUAUAAAUUACUCAUGUUCUUGUGGUGAUUAUGUUAUAAAAGACCACCCAGGUCGAUGAAUGGGAACUUUUAGCUGAAGAAAAACCGAAAAAUAGCAAUUAUGUCUCAGAGGCUGAAUUCCACUCCACAGGCUCAGCGCUGAGAGAGCACCCUCCUUAGAAGUGUGGGUACCUGAGGAUACCAGAGGGAACAAGAAAGAAUAGGAUGUCGUUGCACACAGGAAUGGAUGACCAGGAGGAUCCCAAGGUUCUGCUCAUCCUGCCAGGCUUGCAUGAGUGUUCUGCUCAUUUUUGCUCUUCGAGGCAAUUAGCUGAAGUGCACAGAUGAAUAGGAAUCAGGCAGACACUAAAGGGGCGUGUACAAAGGGAGUAAACUCGGAAACAUUCGGUAGUGUCCAUUUAGACUGACCGCACCUGGCUACAGUGUUUGAUUUUUUUUUUCCUCAAUGAAGGAAUCACUCUCCCUUUGCA